rfam:Otolemur garnettii contig076401, whole genome shotgun sequence.
GCUGGGUGCUGUGGCCGGUGCCAGUAGUCCCAGCUACUCCAGAGGCUAAAGCAGGAGGAUUGCUUGAGUCUAGGAGUUCUGGGGUGUAAUUUGCUAUGGUGACUUGGGUGUCCUUCUGUGAGCAGGGGACCACCAGGUUGCAUAAGGAGGGGUGGACUGGUCCAGGUUGGAAACGGAGCAGGUCAAAACUUCCUUACUAAUCAGGAGCGGAAUCAUGCUUGUGAAAAGCCAUUAUACUCUAGCCUGGGCAACAUAGUGAGACCCCAUCUCUU